rnacentral:rRNA from 1 species
CCUACGGGGGGCUGCAGUAGGGAAUCUUCCGCAAUGGACGAAAGUCUGACGGAGCAACGCCGCGUGAGCGAAGAAGGUCUUCGGAUCGUAAAGCUCUGUUGUUAGGGAAGAACAAGUACGGGAGGAAAUGACCGUACCUUGACGGUACCUAACGAGGAAGCCACGGCUAACUACGUGCCAGCAGCCGCGGUAAUACGUAGGUGGCGAGCGUUGUCCGGCAUUAUUGGGCGUAAAGCGCGCGCAGGCGGUCUUUUAAGUCUGAUGUGAAAUCUUGCGGCUCAACCGCAAGCGGUCAUUGGAAACUGGGAGACGUGAGUGCAGAAGAGGAAAGGGGAAUUCGACGUGUAGGGGUGAAAUGCGUAGAGAGGAGGAGGAACACCAGUGGCGGAGGCGGCUUUCUGGUCUGUAACUGACGCUGAGGCGCGAAAGCGUGGGGAGCAAACAUGAUUAGAGAUGCCUGUAGUC